AUUGAACGCUGGCGGCAUGCCUUACACAUGCAAGUCGAACGGCAGCACGGACUUCGGUCUGGUGGCGGGUGGCGAACGGGUGAGUAAUGUAUCGGAACGUACCCUUCAGUGGGGGAUAACUAUCCGAAAGGAUAGCUAAUACCGCAUAUUCUCUGAGGAGGAAAGCGGGGGAUCGCAAGACCUCGCGCUGAUGGAGCGGCCGAUAUCAGAUUAGCUAGUUGGUGGGGUAAAGGCCUACCAAGGCGACGAUCUGUAGCGGGUCUGAGAGGAUGAUCCGCCACACUGGGACUGAGACACGGCCCAGACUCCUACGGGAGGCAGCAGUGGGGAAUUUUGGACAAUGGGGGCAACCCUGAUCCAGCCAUGCCGCGUGAGUGAAGAAGGCCUUCGGGUUGUAAAGCUCUUUCGGCCGGGAAGAAAUCGCGUGAGUUAAUACCUUGCGUGGAUGACGGUACCGGAAUAAGAAGCACCGGCUAACUACGUGCCAGCAGCCGCCGUAAUAC
rnacentral:rRNA from 1 species